GCCUGGGAAAACCCCUCGCCGUCGCUCUGCAACAGCGAAAUGGAACACUUCCCUUCAGACAACAAAACCACCGUGCGCAUUGCACGCUGAGCACAACAUCGGCAUAGGCAGCCCCGCGCAUGCACGCUGAUCGGGGGGGGAAAUAGCGAGGGGCUUACCUACAAUUGGGCAAAAAGGCAAUCGAACACAAUAAAGAGUGAAGUUGCAAGGAAAUUACAUCCGCCGUGUCGUCCGGGACACCCUGAACAGCCUCGCUUCCACGAGAACUUUAAUGAAACAGACAGGCCCACUGACGUCACCGGGGGGUCCCUUCCCCGCCUCCCAGCCACGGGGUGUCCACCGGAGCCAGCGGGAGGCUCUGGGGAAUGUCAUGGCGGUGCACGGCCCGGGGGCUGAGAAGAAGACCCGAAGGCCACGAGGCCAUCUUAGAGAAAAAGCCUCCUGCAGCCACUGCAUACCAUGACAUGUCUCGGUGUGCCAUGCCUCAUUGUUCUUGGGUGCUGCAAAAGAAAACACAAGUAAGUGAGUUGUAGAACGUUGAUAUUAUUCAUGGUCUUUAUGGGGUUGACUAUCACGUCUGCGUUGGUUAUGUACAUCAUUUGAAUUUAAAUUACAGUGCCUUCCCCCAG